UACGGGGGGAGCAAGCGUUGUUCGGAUUUACUGGGCGUAAAGGGCGCGUAGGCGGUCAGCACAAGUCAGUUGUGAAAUCUCCGAGCUUAACUCGGAAAGGUCAACUGAUACUGUGCGACUAGAGUGCGGAAGGGGCAACUGGAAUUCUUGGUGUAGCGGUGAAAUGCGUAGAUAUCAAGAGGAACACCUGCGGCGAAGGCGGGUUGCUGGGCCGACACUGACGCUGAGGCGCGAAAGCUAGGGGAGCAAACGGG
rnacentral:rRNA from 1 species